UACGGAGGGUGCGAGCGUUGUCCGGAAUCAUUGGGCGUAAAGGGCGCGUAGGUGGCGCGGCAAGCGUGCGGUGAAAGCUCGGGGCUCAACCCCGAGUCGGCCGUGCGAACUGCUGUGCUUGAGCACUGUAGAGGCAGGCGGAAUUCCGGGUGUAGCGGUGGAAUGCGUAGAGAUCCGGAAGAACACCGGUGGCGAAAGCGGCCUGCUGGGCAGUGGCUGACACUGAGGCGCGACAGCGUGGGGAGCAAACAGG
rnacentral:rRNA from 1 species